rnacentral:rRNA from 1 species
AUACGUAGGUGGCGAGCGUUGUCCGGAAUUACUGGGCGUAAAGGGUGCGUAGGCGGUCUGUUAAGUCAGAUGUGAAAGACCCGGGCUCAACCCGGGAUGUGCAUCUGAGACUGGCGGACUUGAGUGCAGGAGAGGGAAGUGGAAUUUCUAGUGUAGCGGUGGAAUGCGUAGAUAUUAGGAAGAACACCAGUGGCGAAGGCGGCUUCCUGGACUGUAACUGACGCUGAGGCACGAAAGCGUGGGGAGCAAACAGGAUUAGAUACCCUGGUAGUCCACGCUGUAAACGAUGGAUACUAGGUGUAGGUAUCGUAGGAUAUCUGUGCCGGAGUUAACGCAAUAAGUAUCCCGCCUGGGGAGUACGGCCGCAAGGUUGAA